rnacentral:rRNA from 1 species
AUCAGUGUGUGUGUUAGUGGAAGCGUCUGGAAAGGCGCGCGAUACAGGGUGACAGCCCCGUACACAAAAAUGCACAUGCUGUGAGCUCGAUGAGUAGGGCGGGACACGUGGUAUCCUGUCUGAAUAUGGGGGGACCAUCCUCCAAGGCUAAAUACUCCUGACUGACCGAUAGUGAACCAGUACCGUGAGGGAAAGGCGAAAAGAACCCCGGCGAGGGGAGUGAAAAAGAACCUGAAACCGUGUACGUACAAGCAGUGGGAGCACAGAGCAAUCUGUGUGACUGCGUACCUUUUGUAUAAUGGGUCAGCGACUUAUAUUCUGUAGCAAGGUUAACCGAAUAGGGGAGCCGAAGGGAAACCGAGUCUUAACUGGGCGUUAAGUUGCAGGGUAUAGACCCGAAACCCGGUGAUCUAGCCAUGGGCAGGUUGAAGGUUGGGUAACACUAACUGGAGGACCGAACCGACUAAUGUUGAAAAAUUAGCGGAUGACUUGUGGCUGGGGGUGAAAGGCCAAUCAAACCGGGAGAUAGCUGGUUCUCCCCGAAAGCUAUUUAGGUAGCGCCUCGUGAAUUCAUCUCCGGGGGUAGAGCACUGUUUCGGCAAGGGGGUCAUCCCGACUUACCAACCCGAUGCAAACUGCGAAUACCGGAGAAUGUUAUCACGGGAGACACACGGCGGGUGCUAACGUCCGUCGUGAAGAGGGAAACAACCCAGACCGCCAGCUAAGGUCCCAAAGUCAUGGUUAAGUGGGAAACGAUGUGGGAAGGCCCAGACAGCCAGGAUGUUGGCUUAGAAGCAGCCAUCAUUUAAAGAAAGCGUAAUAGCUCACUGGUCGAGUCGGCCUGCGCGGAAGAUGUAACGGGGCUAAACCAUGCACCGAAGCUGCGGCAGCGACGCUGAUGCGUUGUUGGGUAGGGGAGCGUUCUGUAAGCCUGCGAAGGUGUGCUGUGAGGCAUGCUGGAGGUAUCAGAAGUGCGAAUGCUGACAUAAGUAACGAUAAAGCGGGUGAAAAGCCCGCUCGCCGGAAGACCAAGGGUUCCUGUCCAACGUUAAUCGGGGCAGGGUGAGUCGACCCCUAAGGCGAGGCCGAAAGGCGUAGUCGAUGGGAAACAGGUUAAUAUUCCUGUACUUGGUGUUACUGCGAAGGGGGGACGGAGAAGGCUAUGUUGGCCGGGCGACGGUUGUCCCGGUUUAAGCGUGUAGGCUGGUUUUCCAGGCAAAUCCGGAAAAUCAAGGCUGAGGCGUGAUGACGAGGCACUACGGUGCUGAAGCAACAAAUGCCCUGCUUCCAGGAAAAGCCUCUAAGCAUCAGGUAACAUCAAAUCGUACCCCAAACCGACACAGGUGGUCAGGUAGAGAAUACCAAGGCGCUUGAGAGAACUCGGGUGAAGGAACUAGGCAAAAUGGUGCCGUAACUUCGGGAGAAGGCACGCUGAUAUGUAGGUGAAGUCCCUCGCGGAUGGAGCUGAAAUCAGUCGAAGAUACCAGCUGGCUGCAACUGUUUAUUAAAAACACAGCACUGUGCAAACACGAAAGUGGACGUAUACGGUGUGACGCCUGCCCGGUGCCGGAAGGUUAAUUGAUGGGGU